UACAGAGACCUCAAGCGUUAUCCGGAAUCAUUGGGCGUAAAGCGUACCGACAGGUGGUCAUACAAGUCAGAGGUGAAAUCUCAAAGCUUAACUUUGAGUCUGUCUUUUGAAACUGUAUGACUAGAGGGGCAAAGAGGAAGCUGGAACGAACGGUGUAGUAGUGAAAUGCGUUGAUAUCGUUCGGAACACCAAUAGCGUAGGCAGGCUUCUGGGUGCCACCUGACACUGCUAGGACGAAAGCGUGGGGAGCGAAUGGG
rnacentral:rRNA from 1 species